GGGCCUGUGGUCCAGUGGCAGAACACCCCGUUCGCAACGGGGAAACCCGAGUUCGAUUCUCGGCAGGUCCA
rnacentral:tRNA from 1 species